rnacentral:rRNA from 1 species
UUGCAUCGAUGAAAGAACGCAGCGAAAUGCGAUAAGUAAUGUGAAUUGCAGAAUUCAGUGAAUCAUCGAAUCUUUGAACGCACCUUGCGCUCCUUGGUAUUCCGAGGAGCAUGCCUGUUUGAGUGUCAUGAAAACCCUCAACCCUAGAUUGGUUAAAACCUUUCUUUGGUUUGGAUUUGGACGUUUGCCGAUGAUAAGUCGGCUCGUCUUAAAAGUAAUAGCUGGAUCUGUCUCGCGACAUGGUUUGACUUGGCGUAAUAAGUAUUUCGCUAAGGACAUCUUCGGAUGGCCGCGUUGCAGGACUAAAGACCGCUUUCUAAUCCAUUGAUCUUCGGAUUAAUAUUCUUGACAUCUGGCCUCAAAUCAGGUAGGACUACCCGCUGAACUUAAGCAUAUCAAUAAGCG